rnacentral:rRNA from 1 species
AGCGAACGCUGGCGGCAGGCUUAACACAUGCAAGUCGAGCGGGCAUCCUUGUGGUGUCAGCGGCAGACGGGUGAGUAACGCGUGGGAACGUGCCCUUCGGUUCGGAAUAACUCAGGGAAACUUGAGCUAAUACCGGAUACGUGCGAGAGCAGAAAGGUUUAUCUGCCGAAGGAUCGGCCCGCGUCUGAUUUGCUAGUUGGUGAGGUUACGGCUCACCAAGGCGACGAUCAGUAGCUGGUCUGAGAGGAUGAUCAGCCACACUGGGACUGAGACACGGCCCAGACUCCUACGGGAGGCAGCAGUGGGGAAUAUUGGACAAUGGGGGCAACCCUGAUCCAGCCAUGCCGCGUGAGUGAUGACGGCCUUAGGGUUGUAAAGCUCUUUUCUCCGGGACGAUAAUGACGGUACCGGAGGAAUAAGCCCCGGCUAACUUCGUG